UAGCUUGCUAGAAGUGGAUUAGUGGCGCACGGGUGAGUAAAGCAUAGGUUAUGUGCCCCAUAGUCUGGGAUAGCCACUGGAAACGGUGAUUAAUACCGGAUACUCCUUACGAGGGAAAGUUUUUCGCUAUGGGAUCAGCCUAUGUCCUAUCAGCUUGUUGGUGAGGUAAUGGCUCACCAAGGCUAUGACGGGUAUCCGGCCUGAGAGGGUGAACGGACACACUGGAACUGAGACACGGUCCAAACUCCUACGGGAGGCAGCAGUAGGGAAUAUUGCUCAAUGGGCGAAAGCCUGAAGCAGCAACGCCGCGUGGAGGAUGAAGGUUUUAGGAUUGUAAACUCCUUUUGUUAGAGAAGAUUAUGACGGUAUCUCACGAAAUAAGCACA
rnacentral:rRNA from 1 species